UACGUAGGGACCGAGCGUUGUCCGGAAUCAUUGGGCGUAAAGAGCGUGUAGGCGGCUACUUAAGUCCUGCGUGAAAUCUUGCGGCUCAACCGCAAGCGGUCGUGGGAAACUGGGUGGCUAGAGUGCGGGAGAGGAGAGUGGAAUUCCUGGUGUAGCGGUGGAAUGCGCAGAUAUCAGGAAGAACACCCGUGGCGAAGGCGGCUCUCUGGAACGCAACUGACGCUGAGACGCGAAAGCGUGGGGAGCAAACAGG
rnacentral:rRNA from 1 species